GGGUUGAGUUACGGGGCUCUGUGAAGCAAUUGUUUCAAAGGACAAUUACUUCUGUACCACAUCUGUGCAGCUGCCAUUGCUCCCAGUGACAAUGAAUAACUGCAAGAGUUUUUGGAGAUGCCACAACUGUGUCCCUCUUCUGCUCCCUCUCCAUCUUUGUUCAGCACAACCUCCUGGGUAUGCACCAAGCACCCGGCCAUGCCCGCGAGCACUUAGUGCAGCUUCGCCUCCCCUCAAUUUAUUGCUUCUUUGAAAUAUCUCCACUGUGUCCAUUUACUUUUUAAUGCAGCAGAUGAAAAAACACACUGUCAAGAUUUUCUUGUGAUGCUCUGCCAAUUACAUCAUUGCACUGAUGCAGGAUCAGAGCCCAGCAGAACCCAGGCAUCCUUCUGUGGGAUCUGUCUACCUUGGGGUGAUGAGCGCGAGCUCUUUCAUGCAUGUCUUCAGAUGUGUCACUGCAACGCGCUGUUUGGAUUUCCUGAGCAGAAUGAGCUGAAAUAAACUUGAUAAUCAAAAGC